rnacentral:rRNA from 1 species
UCGAACGGAAAGGCCUUUUCGGAGGUACUCGAGUGGCGAACGGGUGAGUAACACGUGGGUGAUCUGCCCUGCACUCUGGGAUAAGCCUGGGAAACUGGGUCUAAUACCGGAUAGGACCGCACUUUAGUGUGUGUGGUGGAAAGUUUCUUCGGUGUAGGAUGAGCCCGCGGCCUAUCAGCUUGUUGGUGGGGUAAUGGCCUACCAAGGCGGCGACGGGUAGCCGGACUGAGAGGUUGGUCGGCCACAUUGGGACUGAGAUACGGCCCAGACUCCUACGGGAGGCAGCAGUGGGGAAUAUUGCACAAUGGGCGCAAGCCUGAUGCAGCGACGCCGCGUGGGGGAUGACGGCCUUCGGGUUGUAAACUCCUUUCGCCAGGGACGAAGCGUUUUGUGACGGUACCUGGAGAAGAAGCACCGGCUAACUACGUGCCAGCAGCCGCGGUAAUACGUAGGGUGCAAGCGUUGUCCGGAAUUACUGGGCGUAAAGAGCUCGUAGGUGGUUUGUCACGUCGUCUGUGAAAUUCCACAGCUUAACUGUGGGCGUGCAGGCGAUACGGGCUGACUUGAGUACUGUAGGGGUAACUGGAAGUCCUGGUGUAGCGGUGAAAUGCGCAGAUAUCAGGAGGAACACCGAUGGCGAAGGCAGGUUACUGGGCAGUUACUGACGCUGAGGAGCGAAAGCAUGGGUAGCAAACAGGAUUA